rnacentral:rRNA from 1 species
CUUUAGUGGCGAACGGGUGAGUAACACGUAUCUAACCUACCAUUUAGUGGGGAAUAACUGUUGGAAACGACAGCUAAUACCSCAUAUGUUAUUUAUUUGCAAUAAUAAAUAAUAAAAGGAGCAUUUGCUUCGCUAAUUGAUGGGGAUGCGGCGCAUUAACUAGUUGGUAAGGUAACGGCUUACCAAGGUAACGAUGCGUAGCCGAUCUGAGAGGAUGAACGGCCACAUUGGGACUGAGACACGGCCCAAACUUCUACGGAAGGCAGCAGUAGGGAAUUUUUCACAAUGGGCGAAAGCCUGAUGGAGCAAUGCCGCGUGACUGAUGAAGGUCUUCGGAUUGUAAAGGUCUGUUGUAAGGGAAGA